GGGUUGUGAGGUUAAGCGACUAAGCGUACACGGUGGAUGCCCUGGCAGUCAGAGGCGAUGAAGGGCGUGCUAAUCUGCGAUAAGCGCCGGUAAGGUGAUAUGAACCGUUAUAACCGGCGAUACCCGAAUGGGGAAACCCAGUGUGACUCGUCACACUAUCAUUAACUGAAUCCAUAGGUUAAUGAGGCGAACCGGGGGAACUGAAACAUCUAAGUACCCCGAGGAAAAGAAAUCAACCGAGAUUCCCCCAGUAGCGGCGAGCGAACGGGGAGGAGCCCAGAGCCUGAAUCAGCAUGUGUGUUAGUGGAAGCGUCUGGAAAGGCGCGCGAUACAGGGUGACAGCCCCGUACACAAAAGCGCAUGUGCUGUGAGCUCGAUGAGUAGGGCGGGACACGUGGUAUCCUGUCUGAAUAUGGGGGGACCAUCCUCCAAGGCUAAAUACUCCUGACUGACCGAUAGUGAACCAGUACCGUGAGGGAAAGGCGAAAAGAACCCCGGCGAGGGGAGUGAAAAAGAACCUGAAACCGUGUACGUACAAGCAGUGGGAGCACCCUUUGGGGUGUGACUGCGUACCUUUUGUAUAAUGGGUCAGCGACUUAUAUUCUGUAGCAAGGUUAACCGUAUAGGGGAGCCGUAGGGAAACCGAGUCUUAACCGGGCGUUAAGUUGCAGGGUAUAGACCCGAAACCCGGUGAUCUAGCCAUGGGCAGGUUGAAGGUUGGGUAACACUAACUGGAGGACCGAACCGACUAAUGUUGAAAAAUUAGCGGAUGACCUGUGGCUGGGGGUGAAAGGCCAAUCAAACCGGGAGAUAGCUGGUUCUCCCCGAAAGCUAUUUAGGUAGCGCCUCGUGAAUUCAUCUCCGGGGGUAGAGCACUGUUUCGGCUAGGGGGCCAUCCCGGCUUACCAACCCGAUGCAAACUGCGAAUACCGGAGAAUGUUAUCACGGGAGACACACGGCGGGUGCUAACGUCCGUCGUGAAGAGGGAAACAACCCAGACCGCCAGCUAAGGUCCCAAAGUCAUGGUUAAGUGGGAAACGAUGUGGGAAGGCCCAGACAGCCAGGAUGUUGGCUUAGAAGCAGCCAUCAUUUAAAGAAAGCGUAAUAGCUCACUGGUCGAGUCGGCCUGCGCGGAAGAUGUAACGGGGCUAAACCAUGCACCGAAGCUGCGGCAGCGAACGUAUCACCCAAGACAACUUUACGGAGUUGACGAUUGACGGAGCGAAGCGACGUCAAAGCGUUCAUUAAAGUCGAGUUGGCUUAGGGAUACGUUCGUUGGGUAGGGGAGCGUUCUGUAAGCCUGUGAAGGUGUGUCGUGAGGCAUGCUGGAGGUAUCAGAAGUGCGAAUGCUGACAUAAGUAACGAUAAAGCGGGUGAAAAGCCCGCUCGCCGGAAGACCAAGGGUUCCUGUCCAACGUUAAUCGGGGCAGGGUGAGUCGACCCCUAAGGCGAGGCCGAAAGGCGUAGUCGAUGGGAAACGGGUUAAUAUUCCCGUACUUGGUGUUACUGCGAAGGGGGGACGGAGAAGGCUAUGUUGGCCGGGCGACGGUUGUCCCGGUUUAAGCGUGUAGGUGUGUGUUCCAGGUAAAUCCGGUUCACUUUAACACUGAGGCGUGACGACGAGGCACUACGGUGCUGAAGCAACAAAUGCCCUGCUUCCAGGAAAAGCCUCUAAGCAUCAGGUAACAUCAAAUCGUACCCCAAACCGACACAGGUGGUCAGGUAGAGAAUACCAAGGCGCUUGAGAGAACUCGGGUGAAGGAACUAGGCAAAAUGGUGCCGUAACUUCGGGAGAAGGCACGCUGACACGUAGGUGAAGUGAUUUACUCAUGGAGCUGAAGUCAGUCGAAGAUACCAGCUGGCUGCAACUGUUUAUUAAAAACACAGCACUGUGCAAACACGAAAGUGGACGUAUACGGUGUGACGCCUGCCCGGUGCCGGAAGGUUAAUUGAUGGGGUCAGCGCAAGCGAAGCUCCUGAUCGAAGCCCCGGUAAACGGCGGCCGUAACUAUAACGGUCCUAAGGUAGCGAAAUUCCUUGUCGGGUAAGUUCCGACCUGCACGAAUGGCGUAAUGAUGGCCAGGCUGUCUCCACCCGAGACUCAGUGAAAUUGAACUCGCUGUGAAGAUGCAGUGUACCCGCGGCAAGACGGAAAGACCCCGUGAACCUUUACUAUAGCUUGACACUGAACAUUGAGCCUUGAUGUGUAGGAUAGGUGGGAGGCUUUGAAGUGUGGACGCCAGUCUGCAUGGAGCCGACCUUGAAAUACCACCCUUUAAUGUUUGAUGUUCUAACGUGGACCCGUUACCCGGGUUGCGGACAGUGUCUGGUGGGUAGUUUGACUGGGGCGGUCUCCUCCUAAAGAGUAACGGAGGAGCACGAAGGUUGGCUAAUCCUGGUCGGACAUCAGGAGGUUAGUGCAAUGGCAUAAGCCAGCUUGACUGCGAGCGUGACGGCGCGAGCAGGUGCGAAAGCAGGUCAUAGUGAUCCGGUGGUUCUGAAUGGAAGGGCCAUCGCUCAACGGAUAAAAGGUACUCCGGGGAUAACAGGCUGAUACCGCCCAAGAGUUCAUAUCGACGGCGGUGUUUGGCACCUCGAUGUCGGCUCAUCACAUCCUGGGGCUGAAGUAGGUCCCAAGGGUAUGGCUGUUCGCCAUUUAAAGUGGUACGCGAGCUGGGUUUAGAACGUCGUGAGACAGUUCGGUCCCUAUCUGCCGUGGGCGCUGGAGAACUGAGGGGGGCUGCUCCUAGUACGAGAGGACCGGAGUGGACGCAUCACUGGUGUUCGGGUUGUCAUGCCAAUGGCACUGCCCGGUAGCUAAAUGCGGAAGAGAUAAGUGCUGAAAGCAUCUAAGCACGAAACUUGCCCCGAGAUGAGUUCUCCCUGAGACUUAGAGUCUCCUGAAGGAACGUUGAAGACGACGACGUUGAUAGGCCGGGUGUGUAAGCGCAGCGAUGCGUUGAGCUAACCGGUACUAAUGAACCGUGAGGCUUAACCUUACAACGCCGAAG
rnacentral:rRNA from 3 species